UGGUUUGCUCAUGGUAUUGACAUGCAAAUUUCUUGCAUAUAUAUGUUCUGGCUUGGUGAACUGAGUGAUUCAAUGGUAGAAAGCUACACCUUAAUUUAUUUAUUUAUUUAUUUUUUGUUUAGAGCAUCAUUUUAGUGGGAAAAAAGAGAGAAUCGUUUUAGUAGUCUACAGUUGCUUAGGGUCUGUUCAGUGUGAGUUUUAGUAUUCAAUUUAAUCUUGCAAGCCACUGGUAACAGGCUAUAGGCUACUGGAGUCACUGAAAUACACAAUUUUCUCAGUGUUUUCCUUUUUGGGUCUGUUUUAAUAUUAUUGGUUUUUGUUAUGGUUCCUUUUCUGUGGGCAAGCAAGGACCAUAAUUGUUACUAAGUGCUUGUGGUACUACAUGUCAAUUAUUUCAUCCUUGUUCAUAUGAUAAUUUGUGGUCAAAUCCUUUAUGGAUCCAUUGGCAGGAAAUACUAUAUAUUUAAGGUAAAUCCUUAGUGAGUGAUGUUUAGGUGUUUGAUUUUGGAUAUUUUAAUUUUAUGAAUUUAUGAGGGAAAAGUAUAUAAAUUAAGGUAACUUCUCUGUGAGUGAUAUCUAGGUGUUUGAUUUUGCAUAUAUUCUCCUCCAAGUUACAAAUGGCUCCUAUAUAUCUAGGAUUAAUGUAUCAACCCAUUAAGGAUAAUGCAUUCCAUUUUGGGGGUAAAAGUUAGGCAAGCUUCUAUACAAUUUUUAUUUGACCAAAUGGUUUGCUCAUGGUAUUGACAUGCAAAUUUCUUGCAUAUAUAUGUUCUGGCUUGGUGAACUGAGUGAUUCAAUGGUAGAAAGCUACACCUUAAUUUAUUUAUUUAUUUAUUUUUUGUUUAGAGAAUCAUUUUAGUGGGAAAAAAGAGAGAAUCGUUUUAGUAGUCUACAGUUGCUUAGGGUCUGUUCAGUGUGCAGUCUGUUUUCAAUAAGUGCCCUCAUAAUAUUUUGCUGCUUAAAUAUUAACCUAGAAAUGUGAUUGUUAUCCUAUCAUGUCUAAGAAUUGAAAACCUGGGUUCUUAUCCCAUCCUCCUGCUCUGUGAAUAGGCUGUACAACAUUUUUCUCUUCAUAGCCCACAUUAUUGUAGCCCUUGUCUAAUUGCUUUGAAAUGCUACAUUUAACUCAACACUUUACUAUUGUAAACUGUGUAUGAAUUAUUGUACAGUAAUUGGAAGUUUGUGGUUAAUUCACAUCAAAUGACUGCACCAUGAAUUAAUGUAAUCCUUAAUCAUCUUCGCUGACGACCUUCAAAGCAUCACCAUGUUUCCUUUGUAUUGUCCACUUCACUAAGCAGAUUUUCUGUCAAGAAGUCUGUUAAAAUUGACCACUUCAUCCCAGAAAUUAAAAAAAAAAAGGAAA
rnacentral:lncRNA from 1 species